rnacentral:rRNA from 1 species
AUGCAAGUCGAACGGUAUGUCCCUUCGGGGAUACACGAGUGGCGCACGGGUGCGUAACACGUAUGCAACCUACCCUCCGGAGGGGGAUAGUCGCGGGAAACUGCGAAUAAUACCCCAUGUGUUCAUUGGUUGGCAUCAACUGAUGAAGAAAGUUCCGGCGCCGGGGGAUGGGCAUGCGUCCCAUUAGCUAGUUGGUGAGGUAACGGCUCACCAAGGCGACGAUGGGUAGCUGGUCUGAGAGGAUGAUCAGCCACACGGGCACUGAGACACGGGCCCGACUCCUACGGGAGGCAGCAGUAAGGAAUCUUGGUCAAUUGGGGGCAACCCUGAACCAGCCAUGCCGCGUGGAGGAAGACGGCCCUCCGGGUUGUAAACUCCUUUAGUCAGGGACUAAUUGUGGGCUAUAGGCACACUUGCAGGUACCUGAAGAAUAAGCGCCGGCUAACUACGUGCCAGCAGCCGCGGUAAUACGUAGGGCGCAAGCGUUGUCCGGAUUUAUUGGGUUUAAAGGGUGCGUAGGCGGAUUGUUAAGUUCGUGGUGAAAUCGUUCCGCUUAACGGAAUAACCGCCAUGGAUACUGGCAGUCUUGAGUGCGAUAGAGGAAGUUAGAAUGCGUGGUGUAGCGGUGAAAUGCCAUAGAUAUCACGCAGAAUACCGAUUGCGAAGGCAGAUUUCUAUACCGUAACUGACGCUGAGGCACGAAAGCGUGGGGAGCGAACAGGAUUAGAUACCCUGGUAGUCCA